UACAGAGGGUGCAAGCGUUAAUCGGAUUUACUGGGCGUAAAGCGUGCGUAGGCGGUUCAUUAAGUCGGUUGUGAAAUCCCUGGGCUUAACCUGGGAACUGCAGUCGAUACUGGUGAACUAGAAUGCGGUAGAGGGUGGCGGAACUCCGGGUGUAGCGGUGAAAUGCGUAGAUAUCCGGAAGAACACCAGUGGCGAAGGCGGCUCACUGGCCCGUUACCGACGCUCAGGCGCGACAGCGUGGGGAGCAAACAGG
rnacentral:rRNA from 1 species